GGUCUGAGAGGAUGAUCCGCCACACUGGGACUGAGACACGGCCCAGACUCCUACGGGAGGCAGCAGUGGGGAAUAUUGGACAAUGGGGGGAACCCUGAUCCAGCCAUGCCGCGUGUGUGAAGAAGGCCUUUUGGUUGUAAAGCACUUUAAGCGAGGAGGAGGCUACUUAGAUUAAUACUCUGAGAUAGUGGACGUUACUCGCAGAAUAAGCACCGGCUAACUCUGUGCCAGCAGCCGCGGUAAUACAGAGGGUGCGAGCGUUAAUCGGAUUUACUGGGCGUAAAGCGUGCGUAGGCGGCUUUUUAAGUCGGAUGUGAAAUCCCUGAGCUUAACUUAGGAAUUGCAUUCGAUACU
rnacentral:rRNA from 1 species